GAUGAACGCUGGCGGCGUGCCUAAUACAUGCAAGUCGAACGAACGGGCGCGACGCUUGCUUCUCUGAUGUUAGCGGCGGACGGGUGAGUAACACGUGGAUAACCUACCUAUCAGACUGGGAUAACUUCGGGAAACCGGAGCUCAUACCGGAUAAUAUUUUGAACCGCAUGGUUCAAAAGUGAAAGACGGUCUUUCUGUCACUUAUCGAUGGAUCCGCUCUUCAUUAGCUAGUUGGUAAGGUAACGGCUUACCAAGGCAACGAUGCAUAGCCGACAUGAGAGGGGGAUCGGCCACACGGGAGGUGAGACACGGACAAGACGCCUACGGGAGGCAGCAGUAGGGAAUCUUACGCAAUGGGCGAAAGCCUGACGGAGCAACGGCGCGUGAGUGAUGAAGGCCUUCGGAUCGUAAAACUCUGUUAUGAGGGAAGAACAUAUGUGUAAGUAACUGUGGACAUCUUGACGGUACCUAAUCAGAAAGCCACGGCUAACUACGUG
rnacentral:rRNA from 1 species